GAAAUCUAAGUUUUAAAAAUAUUUGCUUGUCAAGCAAAAGAGGGUGUAAGCCAGUUUUUA
rnacentral:tRNA from 1 species